CAGUCGCCGCGGUAACACGAAGGUCCCGAGCGUUGUUCGGAAUCACUGGGCGUAAAGGGAGCGUAGGCGGCGUGGUAAGUCAGAUGUGAAAUCCCGGGGCUCAACCCCGGCACUGCAUCCGAUACUGCCAUGCUAGAGGAUUGGAGAGGUAGCUGGAAUUCUUGGUGUAGCAGUGAAAUGCGUGGAGAUCAAGAGGAACACUCGUGGCGAAAGCGAGCUACUGGACAAUAACUGACGCUGAGGCUCGAAGGCCAGGGUAGCGAAAGGGAUUAGAUACCCCAGUAGUCCCUGUCUCUUAUAC
rnacentral:rRNA from 1 species